rnacentral:rRNA from 1 species
CGGCGUGGAUUAGGCAUGCAAGUCGAACGAGAAAGCGACCUUCGGGUUGCGAGUACAGUGGCGAACUGGUUAGUAACAGGUGGAUAACGUACCCUCCGGCGGGGGACAACCCUKGGAAACAGGGGCUAAUACCGCAUGUGACCACAACCCUCGUUUGGUGGUUGUGGGGAAAGAUGCGCUUCGCGCGUGUCACCCGGAGGGAUCGGUCCCGCCCCUGAUUAGCUUGUUGGCGGGGGUAAUGGCCCACCAAGGGCUACGAUCAGUAGCUGGUCUGAGAGGAUGGUCAGCAACACUGGGACUGAGAUACGGCCCAGACUCCUACGGGGAGGCAGCAGUCUAGAAGCUUUCCACAAUGGACGAAAGUCUGAUGGAGCGACGCCGCGUGCGGGAUGAAGGCCGUGAGGUCGUAAACCGCUGUCAGCAGGGAAGAAUGCCCCGAUGGCGAAUCGGGGAGUGACGGUACCUGCAGAGGAAGCCCCGGCUAACUCCGUGCCAGCAGCCGCGGUAAGACGGAGGGGGCAAACGUUGCUCGGAAUUACUGGGCGUAAAGAGUACGUAGGCGGUUUGAUAAGUCGAAUGUGAAAUCCCCUGGCUCAACCAGGGAACUGCAUUCGAAACUGUCGAACUCGAGAAUGGGAGAGGCAAGUGGAAUUCCUGGUGUAGCGGUGGAAUGUGUAGAUAUCAGGAAGAACACUCGUGGCGAAGGCGGCUUGCUGGCCCAUUUCUGACGCUGAGGUACGAAAGCCA